UUGUUUAAGAUGUUGCUUUCUGGCCUUAAUUGGUGUGCCAAAUGGGGCCACCCUUUGAGUUUGUCCCCCAGCCCAUUUGUUCUUCCUCUUUCCCCCUCACCGUCACACUUUCUCUCUUUCCCCCUCACUUUAUCUCUUCUCUCUGUCUCUACCUCAUCCCUCCCUACAACUUUCUCUCUCUCUGAGCUCACCACACAUCACACAACGAACGUCAACAACAACAUCACCCCAUCAGACCUGCACCACCGUCUGAACCUUACAAUCUCCACCCCAAGCCAAGACUGUAGACCUUCAAUAGUGGCGGAGUUACUAUUUCUGGCUUCCCCGACACACUCUCGUCGUAGAUCGGGGAAGAACUUCCCAGUUUUUGACGAGGGAGUCCGAGACUUGUAGGUUGUUUUCCAGCCACGACUGGCCAUGGGAUAGGUGCAAUUGUUUAUGGCGUUUCGUCAUCUCUAGUUUGCACGGCUCUUCGACAGCGAAGUAUCUGUAAGUUGACCUCUUCUAAAAUGCAUGAUUUUACUAUUAGAAAUGCAUACAUGAAAAUCAUGAUUUAUUGGUUACGUUUUAUGAAACGUUUAUGAGUAAAUUGGUUUUAUGCUUUAUGAAAUAUCAUGCUUUAUUGACUUUACGUUCCUUGUGGUAUAUAUGAUUGAUGAUUAUAUACAUACUUGUGAACAUGGUUUUACGAUAUGACGUUUUAACUACUAAACUCUGAUUUUUUAUGUACUUACUUAAUGGUUAUUCAUAAGAUCUGCCUACGGGGGAACGAUACUACCUACUUGCGAAUGAUACUUAUAUAUGGCUUCAGUCGGGCGUUUGUAGAUGGUUUCGACCGGAAGAUACUUAUAUUAGCUUCAGCUGGGCGUUUGUAGAUAGCUUUGGCCGGAAGAUACUUAUUUAUGGUUUCGGUUGGGUGUUUGUAGAUGGCUUUGGUCAGAAGAUACUUAUAUUUGGCUUCAGUUGGGUGAUGUAGUGUCUUCAGUCGAAUGACACUUAUAUUAAGGUGGAGGGUUGUAGUGCCUAUAGGCGGAAGAUAAAGUGCUUUUGGGCGAAUGAAGUUAUAUAUAUGCCUUGUGCUACUACUACUAAGCACAUUAUAUAUGAUAUAUGUAUUACAAAAGGUUUUAUGGCAUGUUAGGGUUUUAAGAAAAACCUAUUACUUAUUAUGCUAUACGAGUUUUCUAAACCUAGGGUUUAGUACGUUAAAGAUUAACUAUUUUAUUACUACUUAUAUAUCAACUUGGUUCACUCAUGUUUUGUUUUGCGCCCCCUCAAGACUUAGCAUCGAGGAUUACAAUCCCGACGUCAAGGCACUCCCACAUUUGCAUCUUCGAGUCCUCUUGGUGUAGAACCCAUCCUUUUGUUCAUUCAAUAUUAUAUUAUUCCUUUUUAGUGUCUUGAAUUAGUUGUAUGCUUUGAACA